rnacentral:misc_RNA from 1 species
AAGUCGUAACAAGGUUUCCGUAGGUGAACCUGCGGAAGGAUCAUUAAAAGAAAAUCAAGAAAAAGGGUUACACGGUGUUGGUAUGGAAGUUGGAAAAAUUUAUGUUGGUGUGAUUUUCAAUUAAACAAUGAAAAAUACAACUGUCAGCAACGGAUCACUUGGUUCUC